ACUCAAAUGAAUUGACGGGGGCCCGCACAAGCAGCGGAGCGUGUGGUUUAAUUCGAGGCUACACGAAGCACCUUACCUGGGCUUGACAUGCGGGUAGUAGGGAAGCGAAAGCGGACCGACCUUCGGGAGCCCGCACAGGUGCUGCAUGGCUGUCGUCAGCUCGUGUCGUGAGAUGUUCGGUUAAGUCCGAAAACGAGCGCAACCCCUGGAACCGGUUACACGUAUCGGGUUCGACUGCCCGGGAGAACCGGGAGGAAGGUGGGGAUGACGUCAAGUCAGCAUGGCCUUGAUGCCCAGGGCGACACACACGCUACAAUGGCGGGGACAAUGGGUCGCCAAAGGGAGACCUGGAGCCAAUCCCGGAAACCCCGUCGUAGUUCGGAUUGCAGGCUGCAACCCGCCUGCAUGAAGUUGGAGUUGCUAGUAACCGCGCGUCAGCAGAGUGCGGUGAAUACGUUCCCGGGCCUUGUACACACCGCCCGU
rnacentral:rRNA from 1 species